rnacentral:rRNA from 1 species
UACGUAGGGUGCAAGCGUUGUCCGGAAUUAUUGGGCGUAAAGAGCUCGUAGGCGGUUUGUUGCGUCGGCUGUGAAAUCCCGAGGCUCAACCUCGGGUCUGCAGUCGAUACGAGCAAACUAGAGUGUUGCAGGGGAGACUGGAAUUCCUGGUGUAGCGGUGAAAUGCGCAGAUAUCAGGAGGAACACCGGUGGCGAAGGCGGGUCUCUGGGCAACAACUGACGCUGAGGAGCGAAAGCGUGGGGGGCGAACAGG